rnacentral:rRNA from 1 species
UUGGCCUACGGGGCGCAGCAGUGGGGAAUAUUGCACAAUGGGGGAAACCCUGAUGCAGCGAUGCCGCGUGGAGGAAGAAGGUUUUCGGAUUGUAAACUCCUUUUAUCAGGGACGAUAAUGACGGUACCUGAAGAAAAAGCUCCGGCUAACUACGUGCCAGCAGCCGCGGUAAUACGUAGGGAGCGAGCGUUGUCCGGAAUUAUUGGGUUUAAAGGGUGCGUAGGCGGUCCGUUAAGUCAGCGGUAAAAUUGCGGGGCUCAACCCCGUCGAGCCGUUGAA